AUCGCAUCUGCUAGUGUCGUACUGCCGUAUCAGCCAAACAAGCUUUUAAGGGAAGACCAGCUGACCUGGAUGUUGGAGGACUUGGAGUUCCAUCCUAGGAGCUGCACCUAAGGCAAAUGAGUCCACCAUUUGUCCUCAUUUUAACAAUAUGAAGGACCCACAAAAAUCUCUUUCAUCAUGACUGCUUCAGGGGCUCCAGUUUGAUUGUUUACAAAUGGCAGCCUUGGAGACAAGAAUAUUUCAGCAAGAAAGAUCCUCAGAGAAACAUGCUUUUAUAGCAAAAGGAUCCUUUCUAGCUUCAGCUGAGACUAAGAGAAACUAGGUGCAGAAGAAUGGCCUGAAGAAAAGCCGCAUGGAGACCAGGAGACCUUGGACUGCUCCUGGAUUUGCAGAAGACAGACAUCCAGGGCACUUCUUGCCAGCCAAAGGAAAAAAUCUUAUGGGACUAAAAAACCACAGCAAUGCUUGUUUACUAUCCAUGUGGUAACCUCUGGACAUCCAGUAAUCCAUUCGUUACCCGCACUGAUCAAGUGCAAGCCUAGUGCAGUGAUA
rnacentral:lncRNA from 1 species